UUCUGUUUGCCAUCUACUGUCCAUUAGCUAAUUCCUGUUCUUUUUUAUGAAGAAAACCUCCAUUUUGCUUAUUACUGAUGUCAGUUUUCAAUCUGUACAACUCAUCUUGAUUUCAGUGGCAUUAUUCCUGACAUCUUUUUAAGGACUAUCAGUGUUGGUGCUAUGUAGUGAAUAAGAAAAAUGAGCCAAAGGACUGUGUUACCUUUCAUUCGUUCCUUCUUCAACUAUUAGCAUACCAAAUGAAGCUUUGAUCUUAUCUUUAUAGUGGGGAGAUAGUUAAUUUUGUUGUAAAGGUAUUUGCAGUAAUUAAUAAUGUUAUUAUUACCACCAUGUACAAGCAGAAGGGUUGCCUCUACAAAAGAAAUCCCCUUGACUCUGCACUCUUGAACCACCAUCCUCAUGUUUGAGAUGGAAAUAGGAAAAAAAAAGUCUUCCAAGAGAGAUAAUUCAAAUUGAAGUCAGCCCUGUCAAAGCAGAAUCUACUACUAUAAAGACCAAGGAAUGUGCAAGUAGUUCCUUGGAACUUUUCUGGAUAAGAAGAGGAUAGGAGAUUAUCCACAUCAGCUCCAGAGGGCCCCUGAGGAUAUUGCAUGACAGUGGUAUUCUGUGGAUUUGAACAAUGGGAGCACUGGGAUUAGCCAUUUUAUUCGUAUAACCAAGUAAGAAAGAAAAAGGAACUGGGUGCAAUUAUCACUUGUGAAUUAGCCACUGGCAUGUUUUUUGAGCCUCUAACUUUGGAAAACCAGCUGUGCUAAGUAAGUGCAAUGGGCUUGUGCAA